UACGAAGGGGGCUAGCGUUGUUCGGAAUUACUGGGCGUAAAGCGCACGUAGGCGGAUCGAUCAGUCAGGGGUGAAAUCCCAGGGCUCAACCCUGGAACUGCCUUUGAUACUGUCGAUCUAGAGUAUGGAAGAGGUGAGUGGAAUUCCGAGUGUAGAGGUGAAAUUCGUAGAUAUUCGGAGGAACACCAGUGGCGAAGGCGGCUCACUGGUCCAUUACUGACGCUGAGGUGCGAAAGCGUGGGGAGCAAACAGG
rnacentral:rRNA from 1 species